CAGACUCCUACGGGAGGCAGCAGUAAGGAAUAUUGGGCAAUGGACGCAAGUCUGACCCAGCCAUGCCGCGUGCAGGAUGACGGCCUUAUGGGUUGUAAACUGCUUUUGUAUGGGAUUAAAGUGUUGUACGUGUACGACAUUGCCAGUACCAUACGAAUAAGCAUCGGCUAACUCCGUGCCAGCAGCCGCGGUAAUACGGAGGAUGCCAGCGUUAUCCGGAAUCAUUGGGUUUAAAGGGUGCGUAGGUUGAUUAUUACGUCAGUGGUGAAAAUUCCGGGCUCAACCCGGGACUUGCCGUUGAAACUGAUAAUCUUGAGUGUAACUGAUGUGGGCGGAAUGUGUCAAGUACCGGUGAAAUGCAUAGAUAUGACACAGAACACCGAUAGCGAAGGCAGCUCACAAAAGUACAACUGACACUGAGGCACGAAAGCGUGGGUAUCAAACAGGAUUAGAUACCCUGGUAGUCCACGCUGUAAACGAUGAUCACUAGCUGUUUGCGAUACAUUGUAAGUGGUUAAGCGAAAGCGAUAAGUGAUCCACCUGGGGAGUACGUCGGCAACGAUGAAACUCAAAGGAAUUGACGGGGGCCCGCACAAGCGGAGGAGCAUGUGGUUUAAUUCGAUGAUACGCGAGGAACCUUACCUGGGCUUGAACGUAUGGUGCAUGAGUGUGAAAGCACUCUUUCCUUCACAGGACUUCAUACGAGGUGCUGCAUGGUUGUCGUCAGCUCGUGCCGUGAGGUGUUAGGUUAAGUCCUGCAACGAGCGCAACCCCUGUUUUUAGUUGCCAGCAGGUUAUGCUGGGCACUCUAGAAAGACUGCCUGCGCAAGCAGAGAGGAAGGUGGGGAUGACGUCAAAUCAGCACGGCCCUUACGUCCAGGGCUACACACGUGCUACAAUGGUCGGCACAGAGGGUGGCUACCCGGCAACGGGAUGCUAAUCUCCAAAGUCGAUCUUAGUUCGGAUCGAAGUCUGCAACUCGACUUCGUGAAGUUGGAUUCGCUAGUAAUCGUAUAUCAGCCAUGAUACGGUGAAUACGUUCCCGGGCCUUGUACACACCGCCCGUCAAGCCAUGGAAGUUGGGGGUACCUGAAGUCGAU
rnacentral:rRNA from 1 species